rnacentral:rRNA from 1 species
UCGGGAACGCCAGUUCGGGUGGGACCCCCCCCCUAUUUUUGUUUUUACAUUAAAAGAAAAAAAAAAGAUUUU